GAGAGUAUUCAGUUUGAAGUGGGCACAAAGUUCUUUUACAUGAUGGCAAGGCUCAAGUACAGGGUAGUUACAAACAAUUUUACAAGAGACUAUGGAACUUAGAUUUACCUCUAAAAUAAAGAUUACAAUUUGGAGAUGCUCACGUAACUAUCUGCAAUUUACAUUAUCGAAGAAUGAUAGGGUAUGCAACCUGCAGAAGAUGCCAAUCGGGAGCGAAAACGAGUGAGCAUUUGUUUAGGAAUUGUUCUAUUGCAAAAGAAACAUGGGAGAGGUUAAAUAUUGUUUGGCCUGCUUCAGAAGAACAUACCAAUUUUACAGAAUGGCUUAAAAACUUUUUUGAGUCUCAUUCUAUUGUUAUAUGCAGGAUGUUUGUGUGCGCAUUAUGGGGGAUUCGGACUUCCUGAAAUAGAUUUAUUCAUGAGGGGGAAAUGAGAUCGGGAUCUCAAGUUGCAGAUUUUGUUACUAACUACCUACAUGAGUUAGAUGGUUUGACUUUGCUUUUACCUGAAAGAAGGAUCCACACGACCAGAUAGGUUGCUCCACAAGGGUUGAGAUUUAAGAUCAAUUUUGACGCAGCUUUCAAUAGACAAAAAAAUGAAUCGUGUUCUGGGUUAGUGGUUAGAAACGGAGAAGUUAUUUGUUCAAAAACUAUUAUUAAUGCGAAUAUACUUUCUGGUUUCGUAGCUGAAGCGUUGGCUUGUCUCCAGACAAUCAAUCUGGGUUUACACCUUGGGUUGAGGGACGUAGAGUUGAGGGUGACUCUCGGUCGGUUAUUUGUAAGCUGCAAGAGACGAAAGAAAAUAGAUCUGCGAUUGCUGAGUUCAUUGAAGAUUCAAAGAAAUUGUCCAUGGGUUUCAAAUAUUGUGGUUUUCUUUUCAUCAACAUGGAAGCCAACGAGGUUGCUCACAUUAUUGCUACUGAAGGUAUUAAAAAAGGGGAGAACACUUAUUUGUUGCAGAUGGUUCCUUAUGGCACUGCAGUGGUGGCGGAUGCUAGCGGAGAUGGACGAACUACUUGACGGAGACAAAAGGUCGGAGAGUUGAAGAGGAGAGUGAAAAGGGUUAUAAAGGAAACUAACUGUUUGUGUUUUCAAGCAGGGUUGCAUAUCUAAGAUUUUUUUGGUUCUUAAGAUGUUAUCUGUUGAAUUGAUGGGUGAUAAUUGUGAUUUUUGACGUCUUUUCCCAUUCGAUGUUGCUGCUUUCGAGAGGGGGAUUUUCUUGGAUUACAGUUGGGGCGCAAGGUCUCUAGAGCUCUCCUGUCGUUUCUGCUACUGGUUUUUGUUGGUUGGGCUACGUUAUUUUGUUUUUUGUUUUCAUUUCGUUUCUUUUUGGACCAUAUUUUUGUUUUGGUGUUUGGAUUGGGUGUGUUUCAUUUGUUUGGGCCUGACUUCAAUAAAAAUCCAGAAUUUCUUCAAAAAAAAAUUGUAAAUUAGGUCAAAUUUUGUUAUUAGUCCUAGUAUUAUGUGUAAGUUACAGA
rnacentral:lncRNA from 1 species